rnacentral:snoRNA from 1 species
GGGUAACGAGCGAAACUCCGUCUCAAAAAAAAAAAAAAAAAAAAAAAAAUCAUGCUCAAUAGGAUUACGCUGAGGCCC